GUGGGGCAGGGAAGUUGCUUCUAAAAGAGGUAACGCUUGAGCUACUUCUCAGAGGACCAGGAGAGUGAGCCAGGGCAGAGAAAGCACGUUUUGGAACAUGCUGAGAAGCCUGGCGGGGGAAGAGCAAGCACGUCCUGUGGGAGGAACUGAAAUCUCUGAGCAUGGCUGCAGCACAGAAUGUAACGCAGACAAUGGUGAGAGGUGUGAGAGGUUCAGCUGAGAACGUUCUGUGAACAACUGUGAACAGGGACCCUGAGCCUGGAAGGUGCAGACAGCAAGCAGGUGUGGCCCAGUUGAGGGACCUGAGUGACCACUCAGGAAACUGGUCAGAAGUAUCAGAAAACCAGCCUUGAUGGUGAAACCGUGGCUCUCCUGCGUGGACAUGGGGCUCAGCCCCUGGUGGUAGCCAGCUCCUCUGUAACCAGCCAAUCCGAAUCAACAAAGCAAGGAUUAUUUUAAACUGAGAAAUUACUGGAGUCUUCUUUGUGAAGUUCUGUGGCUUUGCUUUUGUAAAUCCCACCCUUGCCCUAGCGUUCACUGGGGCUGCUCACAUUCUUAGGAAAUGAAUAAAUCAAUUUUCUCUGCUGCUUAACUCUCA